rnacentral:rRNA from 1 species
UCAGACGAUGCGUCAGUGCAUAUCAAUAAGCGGAGGAAAAGGAAACUAACAAGGAUUCCCUUAGUAACGGCGAGUGAAGCGGGAAGAGCUCAAAUUUGAAGUCUUCAAGGUUUUACCUUGACGAAUUGUAGUUUAAAGAAGUGUUUUCUGCUGAAGUUUUGGUAAAAGUUCUUUGGAAUAGGACAUCAUAGAGGGUGAGAAUCCCGUAUUUGACCAUUAUUUUCAGCUUUGUGAUACACUUUCAAAGAGUCGGAUUGUUUGGGAAUGCAGUCCAAAAUGGGCGGUAAAUUUCAUCUAAAGCUAAAUAUUGGCGAGAGACCGAUAGCGAACAAGUACCGUGAGGGAAAGAUGAAAAGAACUUUGAAAAGAGAGUUAAACAGUACGUGAAAUUGUCAAAAGGGAAGCGUUUGACACCAGUGUUGUUUUCUCGAAAAUCAAUUAAAAAUGGCUCGAUUUUGUAUUGUUGAGACCUUAAAAGCUCACUGUACAUUUUUCGUGUCUUUUUUAAUGCACUUUUCGUUUAACAAGUUAACAUCAGUUUCUUUUGUUGUAAAAGGGUCAUUGGAAGGUGGCUUUCUUUUCGGAGAAAGUGUUUAUAGCCUUUGGCCUCUGCAAUCCGGAGAGACUGAGGUCUGCAGCGUAGACUCUUCGGGGUUAGAUACAUUUGUGCUAAGUUAUAGCUUUUUAUAGACAACUUGUUGACUAUAAUUAGUCUUGUAGCUUACUCGCUUAUGCUAUUUUACCUACGCUUAGGAUGUUGACGAUCAGCUGAGCGCG